UGGUGGUAAUGCCGGAUGCUCCAGUUGGAUGCAUGUCCUUCUGGGAAAGAUUCUAUCGGUAUGGGAUGGGGUCGCGUCCUAUCAGGUAGUCGGCGGGGUAACGGCCCACCGAGCCUACGACGGGUAGCCGGCCUGAGAGGGCGACCGGCCACAUUGGGACUGAGAUACGGCCCAGACUCCUACGGGAGGCAGCAGUGGGGAAUAUUGCACAAUGGGCGCAAGCCUGAUGCAGCGACGCCGCGUGCGGGAUGACGGCCUUCGGGUUGUAAACCGUUUUUGACUGGGAGCAAGCCCUUCGGGGGGAGGGUACCUUUCGAAUAAGCACCGGCUAACUACGUGCCAGCAGCCGCGGUAAU
rnacentral:rRNA from 1 species